rnacentral:sRNA from 1 species
GGGCUUCUGUUUCCGCGACCCCGGCGGUGCAGGGCGGGUGGAGUCGCGGAGUAGUCCUCAUGGCCGCCGCGCCGGAGCCCGGUGAGCCCGAGGAGAGGAAGGUAGAAUUAGAAGAUCAUGUGAUGUUGGAGUAGGAGGGUUUAUCUUGGUGACUUUGGGAUGCUGGUUUCAUUGUAGGUAUAAUUAUGCAAAGCAAAGAAUCCAGGAAAGAAUUGCCAGAGAAGAAAUUAAAAAGAAGAUAUUAUAUGAAGGUACCCACCUCGAUCCUGAAAGAAAACACAACGGCAGCAGCAGCAAUUGAAUAAUCUUGAGCAUAGAAAAGAAGUCAAUGUAAACGAAGUUAAGAUCAACCACAUAAAACAUUUCAUGUGCAAUAAGCUCUCAAUCAAGUAAAUAAAGUUUAAGUUGUAGUCAUUUUUUUCCCACACUUGUAUGGAAUGAAAACUUGCCAGUUUAUUCUGGCCCUGUGUCUACUGCCAGGAUAGCAUUCUUACGUGUUACAUAUAGUGAACUUGUCAUCCUUAAAAUGUGAACAGAAUUUAUUGGCAGUAUGGCAAAGAAUUAUAAAACCUAGUGUUUAAUGUACUUGGAAAGAGUUUCCUUGUAGUAAUAAGUAUAGAGUUUAAUGAUAAGUAAACGUCCCUUAACAAAAACCUCAACCUUAUUACGAUCCCAUUAAAAAACAGCAAAUACUUACUGAGUUCUUGUAAGAGUUAAUGUCAUUGUAAGAUUUAAAACUAAGGGAUUUUAUCACUUUGCAAAUUAUUUUUUAAAUGCAUUCAUCAUUUGACAGUGUUCUCUCAUUUCUUAAAAUGUGAGUCAUCUUCCAAAAGAGUUGUUUUUAACUGCCCUAAACAUUUUUGGGGAAGUAUGCAGGGUUUAAAUUUUUAAGUAUAAUUAGUUCUGAAUUUAAAUAUGCACAUGGAACUUGUCUGGCAGACUGAUGCAAUAGAAAAACAACUGCAGAAUUACUAUUAAUGUAAACAAUCCAUUUGAAAGUCAAUCAGCUGCUCC